AACAAAUUAAAAAUGGUCUCCUUCGAGAACGUAAUACAUCAGCUUUCGCUGAAUUGUUCGAAGAUUUACACCGAUAUAUACAACAGGAACAAAAUUCUUUCUCAGCACCAAACCAAUCCCAGGAUCUAACUCCAGUGGUUCAAAAUGAAUCUUAUCAAUAUUGUGCACCAAUUCAAAGCAUAGCCCAGUUCCCGUACAAUGUCCACGUGCAAGCGGCUAAUCAAAUUCCACCACAUCGCAGGAACGUUGUUCAUCACGCCCAUAUUUCAUUUGUUCCAGCUGUCAGUGGUACUUUGAGAACAAUCACAAAACGCAAACGUAAGAGGACGAUAUUCACAACAGAGCAAGUCGAAGAAUUAGAGAAGUACUUCAGCACAAAGCCGUACGUAACACGAGAAGAUAGACAAGGCUUAGCCACAAGACUGAAUAUUAACGACAAAGCCGUCAAAAUCUGGUUCCAGAACAGACGUUUGAAAGGAAAAAGAGACCAGUGCCAGUCACCAACUUUAGAUGAACUUAAUCCAGAAGCUUGUCUAGAUUAUUUUGGAAUCUCAGAUCAAUGAGAAGACUGAUCAGUUUGGCUACGUCACUCUUGAUGACACGAUGAUGGGUAACUUAGUGAAUAUUAUUGAUAGUUGUUUAGGAAAUAAUUUUACUGAUGGAGUUGUUGAGGAACCAUCGAAUACGUGUAACAGUAGUACAAUUUAUGAGCCUAUAUCUCCGCCAGACAGUACCAAGGAAGAAGAAAAUUUACUUUGGCAGUCUCAUGCGCCCACCAAAU